AAUGUCUAGGUGCCUGCGUAUCAUCCAUAACACCCUGCCCGAGCAUCAGUCUUUCUCGCCAUCAUUCUCUCUCUUUCUAUUCUUCUUCUUCUUUCUAGUAGAAAACUCGAAGGUUAGAGGGUUUCGAGAACUGCUUGAGCUGAGGAAUUUGCACAAAGGCUGCAUCUUUUGCAUAUGGCCUGUCACAAUGGCGAUAAUGAGGACAGCUGGAUAGAGGGAGUGAAAUCUAAAGGAGCCGUUCCACUUCUUGAACCAGAUAAUUGUCCAAAUGGCUGGGCUUCCCCACCUGGAGAUAAGUUCUUGGUUAGAGGUCCGGACUAUUUUACUACCAGGAUUAAAAUUCCUGCCGGGGAUUACCUCCUAAAGCCUCUCGGAUUUGAUUGGAUCAAAGGCACUACAAAGAUCAGCGAGGUUUUAAAACAUCCGAGUGGUCGUGUGAGGAAGGCCCUUGAUGAUCAGUUAGCAAUGGGCAAGAAGCCUUUCAUCUGGGCCUUCAAUCUGCAAGUUCCGAGCAAGGACAACUACAGUGCCGUUGUGUAUUUCGUAGCGCUCCAACCUAUCUCUGAUGGGUCCCUCAUGGAUCGAUUUUUGAAGGAGGAUGACAUGUUUCGGAAUUCAAGGCUCAAGCUGAUAGCCAACAUUGUCAAGGGACCUUGGAUCGUGAGAACUGCAGUCGGAGAGCAGGCCAUCUGCAUACUUGGGCGGGCCGUCUCUUGCAAGUAUCUCAUAGGAGAGAACUACAUAGAAGUCGAUGUGGAUAUCGGGGCUUCAAUGGUUGCUAAUGCCAUCGUUCAUUUGGCGUUCGGAUACAUCACAACGCUGACCGUUGACCUAGCAUUUCUUAUCGAAAGCCAGACCGAGUCAGAGCUCCCUGAGAGAAUAUUAGGAGCUGUGAGGUUCUCAGAGUUGGAUCCAGCCUCUGCUAGGCCGAUUGAGACACCACUAGCUGAUGAAAGUGCAGAAAUUCCCCAAUCAUCCCUUCCUACCCGGUUGUGGAGGUCUCUUGGGCAAGGUUUCUCCAACCUUCUACAGACGAGUCCUCAGGAUGGUUCUGCAUCUCUGUCAGGACAUGCAAAUGGCAGCAUACAUAACGUCGACAGCGACCAAGACAUCAAGAAAUAGAUGCUGGCAUUGUUGGUUAUUGUUGUGGGUCAUGAUCGAAAUUGUAGAAGAUUUCAGCUUCUGCUAGUUUUUAUAUAUAUAUAUAGACACACACGGCUACACCUUUGAAUCCUUUUUUUCCUGAGGGGUGCAUUCCAGGCACCCUUGAAUUUCAUAUGGACCCACAUGAGCCUCCAAACAACCUGAAUCUUCUUACAACCCAUUAUCUGGACUUGAUGAAGGGUCUGAACAGCCCUGGUUAUAUAUACACAACAAGAUUCAUCCAAUGGCGAUGACUCUAUGCUCACAUGGCAUUGAUGAAGAAAACAGGAAAACCUUGUCCCUGUGGAUAAGGGAAAUCCAGUUGACCGAUGACCAUUGGCUAGCAUCAUCAGAUUCUCACUAUUUAUCUGCUUAUUUAUUGAAAUUUCUCAUACAUAUCUAUGAUCAGAGGCAUAGGUGCGCAUUAUCUGUUCAGCACGAGCACCACAAUGCCUUAGUUGUAUUGUAUUAUAUUAUUGUACAUUUGAAUUGAUUUUCAUUCAUUCAUGAUAAUACUUCAUUGUGAAUACAGAUGGUGGUUUUGGUGA